CACACACAGAGAGAGAGAGAGAGUGAGAGAGACAUGCCCCAACCAAAAUGUUACAUUCACGACUGUAAGAAAACACAGAAGGCGACAACUACUAGGCUAAACAUUUCUAACUACCGGAGAGGAGGGCAGUCAAAAAAUGAAAGCCCUCGAGCCCUAAUGAUAGACCAUAAACGGCGCUCCUUGACAGCUAUGAUCAGAGCACCAGCAAGGUUUGGAACUGCUCCAUCAAAGAUACACCUAAUCAACCUCAAUCUUUUACCCUCAAGUUAUAUCAAACCAGCGAGAUGUCACCUCGAAAUAUGAGAAUAGUUGGAAGAUGAUGAAAGUUGCCAACCGAAUUAGCUCUGGAUAAGGAUGCAAAACCAUGA
rnacentral:lncRNA from 1 species